AGAGUUUGAUCCUGGCUCAGGAUGAACGCUGGCGGCGUGCUUAACACAUGCAAGUCGAACGAAGCAGGAGGGUGCUUGCACCUUCCUGCUGAGUGGCGGACGGGUGAGUAAUACGUGGAUAAUCUGCCCUGCACAGGGGGACAACAGCUAGAAAUGGCUGCUAAUACCGCAUAAGCCUACAGCCUCGCAUGAGGGAGUAGGAAAAGAAAUUCGGUGCAGGAUGAGUCCGCGUCUGAUUAGCUAGUUGGAGGGGUAAAAGCCCACCAAGGCAACGAUCAGUAGCCGGCCUGAGAGGGCGACCGGCCACAUUGGGACUGAGACACGGCCCAAACUCCUACGGGAGGCAGCAGUGGGGAAUAUUGCACAAUGGGGGAAACCCUGAUGCAGCGACGCCGCGUGAGCGAGGAAGUAUUUCGGUAUGUAAAGCUCUAUCAGUAGGGACGAAAAAAGACGGUACCUGACUAAGAAGCCCCGGCUAACUACGUG
rnacentral:rRNA from 1 species